UAAUAAGUGUUUUAUGGCACUUUUUAAAUCCAUAUCCACCUUGUGUGCAAUGUCCAGUCGAUCUUUCGUCAAUGAAAAGAUCGACCAAACAUCAACUUAUUCUAUUGAACUUUUGUCUGAAAAAUAUUAUGAAUAAACUAAUUCAAAAUA
rnacentral:misc_RNA from 1 species